UUAGAUUUUAAUCCAACGGUUGGAAUUUUAAAUAUAAGUAGACUUUUUUUAAAUAAGUUGGGCUAAAAAUUUUAAAAAUAAUAAUCUGUAUUGUUUAUUUAGUGUAGAGUUACUAUGCUAUCGGAAGCAUCGAGAAUCUGAUACUUCCAACUUUUUGACCAUUGGAUAAAAAAUUUUACGGUUGAGAUAAUUGCGGUCCCCCAGGGUUGAGUAGUACUUCUAGAAUUGAGUGGUCCUCACAGGGUAAUAGUAUUAAUCCAAAGGUUAGAAAUAAUCAAAGGGAUUGAUCUAAGGGCCGAAACAUAGAAAGCCCCGGAUCCUCUAUGCUUCCAAUAGCAUAGUAGCUCUACUCAUUUAUUUAUAUAUAUAUAAAUUAUAUAUUUAUAUAUAUAUAUAUAAAUUAUAUUACUAUAAAAUAAAUGUAAUCGAGCUGUUAUCGAGCCGAACACGAGCGAGCUAAUCCUAGUUCGUGUUCGGCUCGUUUAUUAAACGAGCUGGAAAAUUCA
rnacentral:lncRNA from 1 species